rnacentral:tRNA from 1 species
ACUUUUAAAGGAAACUAGAAACCCAUUAGCCUUAG